UUAAAGUUGUUGCAGUUAAAAAGCUMGUAGYUGAACCUUGGGCCUGGCUGGCCGGUCCGCCUCACYGCGUGCACUGGUCCGGCCGGGCCUUUACCUGUCAUGGGGAKCCGCAUGCCCUUCACUGGGUGUGUGCAGCGGGAACCAGGACUUUUACUUUGAAAAAAUUAGAGUGUUCAAAGCAGGCCUAUGCUCUGARUACAUUAGCAUGGAAUAAUA
rnacentral:rRNA from 1 species